rnacentral:rRNA from 1 species
GUCUACAGCCAUGCCGCCCUGAACAAGCCCAAUGUCUGAUCUUGGAAGUUAAGCAUGGUCGGGCCUGGUUAGUACUUGGAUAGGAGACCACCUAGGAAGACCAGAAGCAUAAAUA